AGCUCCCCGAGUGGUGGGGACGAUUACUGGGCCUAAAGCGUUCGUAGCCGGCUUAACAAGUCUUCCGUUAAAUCUGGCGACCCAAUCGUCAGGCUGCGGGGGAUACUAUUAGGCUAGGGGGCGGGAGAGGUCGACGGUAUUCUCGGGGUAGGGGUGAAAUCCUAAGAUCCUGAGAGGACCACCAGUGGCGAAGGCGGUCGACCAGAACGCGCCCGACGGUGAGGGACGAAAGCUGGGGUAGCGAACCGGAUUAGAUACCCGAGUAGUCC
rnacentral:rRNA from 1 species